rnacentral:misc_RNA from 1 species
CUUGAUAUCACGGUGUAUGAUCUUGGGCUGACAAUCUUCAUGCAAGUAAGCCAAUCCUUUUGCUGAGCCUACAGCAAUUUUCAUUCUAGUUGACCAGUUCAUAGCUGGUCUCUCCUUUCCAUGUAGAUGGAAUUCCAAGGUGUUGUUUGGAAUAUAUUCAUAUACAAGCAUCCUCUGGACUCCAGUAAUGCAGUAUCCAACCAAUGAAACAAGAUGUCUGUGAUGGACACGACUAAUGAUCUCAAUUUCUGCCUGAAAUUCACGUUCCCCCUGUCUACUCCCUGCUUUAAGCUGCUUAAUUGCAACCGCUUUACCAUCACUAAGGACUCCCUUGUGGACAUAACCAAAACCACCCUGACCAACAAGGUUUGCAUCGGAGAAACUAUUAGUUGCUAUUGCAAGUUCUUCAUAAGAAAAGGUACCCUGUGAAAGUCCAAGAAUUCCAGGAGAUGUCUUCUCAAAGCCCAAACUGCUACUUGUCGAAGGAGGUUCAUGGGAAGCAGGACAAAGCACUGGUGACUGACAGGGCUUUAAAGAGAUUCCUGGGGGAGGGGCAGGGUUAGGCAGCGACGUCACUUUAUUGUCUGUAGGUGGAGGGUGAUUCUNGGGUCUCAUUCGCAUGGUGAGUUCAUUUUCCUUUAGAACUCAGUGCCUCCUUUCUGUUCUUUCUCCGGUAACAAAUGAAGAAAAUGCCCAUAGCAAUCAGUACAAUUAUUGCUCCCAAAGCUAUUCCCACAAUUAGCCCCGCCAGAGCACCAGGAGGUAGCCCCUUAGACGGCGGUGAAAAAGACGUCGUCGAGCCAUUCGUAGAAUCCGACGAUGGUGGAGGCUGAAAAGAGGUUGAGUUAGUCACCGGAGGCGUUGAAACAGUGGAGUUGGUCUCCGGUGGCGGAGACGAAGCAGUCGAGUUAGUCUGCAAUGGUGGCGGCGGAGGUGACGUGGAGUUCGUAGCUGGAGGCGAGGUGGGAACAGUGGAAGGCGAAGUGGGAACAGGGGGAGAGGUUUCCGGGGCUGGCGAAGACAUUGCCGGAUUCCGGCGAAAUUUUUUCCGCUGCUAAUUAUUCAGAGAGAAUCCAAAGACAACAAUU